rnacentral:rRNA from 1 species
UACGUAGGGGGCAAGCGUUGUCCGGAAUUAUUGGGCGUAAAGAGCGCGUAGGCGGUCCGAUAAGUCGGCUGUGAAAGUCAGGGGCUCAACCCUUGAAAGCCGGCCGAUACUGUCGGACUAGAGUCCGGAAGAGGCAAGUGGAAUUCCCGGUGUAGCGGUGAAAUGCGCAGAUAUCGGGAGGAACACCAAUGGCGAAGGCAGCUUGCUGGGACGGUACUGACGCUGAGGCACGAAAGCAUGGGGAGCGAACGGGGA